GAAAAGAGCAAGAGAGGUACAUAGGAUUUAAUGUGCAUAGGAAUCAUGAAGAAUGCUCACAUACACUUGUACUUGGACUUUACGACAGGUACAAGUUCAUCAGUAACAUUAAAUGUAGGUCUUGACCAGUGUUGGGUGAGUUUCUUAAAAAAUCGUAUUCCACUCAUUUUAAUCAGAAUUGUAAUCUGAUUGCUUUACUAACUACUUCAUUGGAAAUGUAAUCACAUUACUAAUUACUGUACUGUUUAGUUACUAUAUAAAAUAUUUUCCGCUCAACGAAUUCAAAAUAAUUUCUAUAUUUCCUCCUUGUUCACACAAGUGAAACAUCACCUCAUACUUCUUCCUCACACUGGGCCUCAUUCAUGAAACACAAGCAGAAUUAUUUUGUAUAAAUCAUUCGUAAAGGUGUUCUGACGUAAAUUCUCUGAGGUUUACGUAUUUUCAAAAUGUUAGUUGGUACGAUCAAAAUUUACACUUGCUCCCGACCAUGUGUAAAUCGUGUCCAAGACAUCUGAACGUUCUGUGUUCUUUCAGGCAAACUACCUUGACUACAUUUUGUCUUCUAAUUCUUUUAAUUUCUCUAAAGAUUUUUCCAGUUGCAAGGGAAGUAUACCACUGUUACAUCACGAUUUACACGAGAAGUUUCACCAAUGAUGUUGGCAGUGUGCUCAACUGAACUGGAGAAUGUUAAUGGUGGUGGACAUCCUCUGGCCGGCAGGAACUGAACAUUAUUUACACUAAAGCUUCAUGUCAAACCAUUUUAAUUGAUCUCUUGGACUGUUUGAUGCACAAAAGAGCCUCCAAUGACAGCAAAAACAUGUGAUGACAGUAAGUUCCUCUCUUUCUUUGAGACACUCUUGUGUUUGCUGAAUCAAAAUUUUACGAUGUGAAUGCACUUCAUUCAUAAAAUUGAUUUAAUUACUGUUCCACUUAGAUGUGAAAAUCAUUUAUUAGUGAGUCAGGUGCCUUCCUUAUAUUGCGUUUUCAUAGGCGCGGAUUAUGAUAAUUGUGAAUGAACGUGCUAUUUACGAAUGUUUGGAAUUCACUAACAUACAUUUAACAAACAAAUUUGUGUACGCAGCAUUUGUGAAUCCGGAGGAACGUUUUCGGGAAGGUCCAUUUUAUGUGUAAAUUACUCCCAAUUUACUCGUAUAUUUACAAAGGUUUCAUGAAUGAGGAUCAUUACUCAUUAUAGGGACAUAAUUCAUGUUUUCAAUAUAUAAUACAUAAAUAAUCUUAUUUUAGACAUACAUGUAACCCUAGUAAUGUGCUUAAAAGUAAUUAAAUAAAUUGAAAAUCAGUUACUGUAAUUUCAUUACAAGAAUGUAAAAUGUAAUGCAUUGCACUUUGUUUUGUGCCAAAAAAGUAAUUAGAUUACAAUAACUAAUUACUCUGAAAUCUGAUUACACCCAACACUGGUCCUGACACGCUAAACACCCAUCAUGAAAUAUUAUGUAUAUCACACCAGGGGGUGCCCUAGACUCAUAAGAAAGAGGUUGUGCUCUGAGUUCAGUGCCUGCUGUGUCAAGCAGCACUUACAUGAACAAACAAGGCAACAGACUAAAAGUGUGGCUGAUUUAGCUGAUCUAGAUUUGUUAAGGGAGAUGAGUGUGUGGGAUUCAGAAUCCAAUACAACUGAAACUAUCUAUCUAUCUAUUCUUAUUUGUAAAAAGGAGGGGCUUCAAGGUAAAAAGGUUGGGAACCACUGACCUAGACAAGCCGACACAAAAAUCAGCUACAAUCCAAUGUGACUCUACAUAGAAAUGCUCUCAGCUGCAAGAUAUUACCCACUUACUAUUUCUUAAUAACAAAGUAAUAACUUAUAGUUUGUUCAAACUGAAGAAAAUGAAAGCAGGCAUCAACAUUUUCUCCAGGGUCAUUUAAACCACCAAAAUGAGGGCACAAUAGACUUUUUUUUUUUAAAUUAGUUAAUUUGGGUAGCCUCUAGAUAAGACUCCAGUAAAAACCUUAUAAAUUGACUUUUACAGUCUUUAGCAUUCACAGAUUUCCCAACAUUCAAAAGCAAAUAUACACCUAUCAGAUUAUUAUGAAAUCUAGGUCAUUGAUAGCUGAGGUAUACCCUGCUGAUGGGCAGAGGAGCUGGACUCCAUCAGGAAAGGGUCUGACAGAGGAAAGAAAAUUACGUGACUGUGGUGACAUUUUUGCAAAAUUAUUUUUACAAGGUUUCUUACAGAUGCUGCUGCAUUUCUAGGUUGAAAUGUCCACUGAGUGGCGCUUAAAUCAAUUAAAAUGUUCUCCAUAGCAAAAUAGGUUUUUAAGGUUAAUGCUCAAUCAGGUUUUUAAUCAACAAAACCUACAUCCCUACUCUAAACCUUAACUUAGUUCAGUCAUGUAAACUCUCUGAAAGAUUGAGCAAGUUAAUGUGGGUAUGACAUAUUGAUAGGAUAUUGGUCCUGGCAGACUAGAUCUGCUACGCUGCUGCAGCAGAGCAAGUACGGAGACUUGCUACUGCAAGAACAUACACGGACAAACUGAGUUAAGCAUAUGGACAUGCUGCUGCACAAUUAGACAUACAUACAAUCCCCCAACAACGCAGGGAAGCUGCACAACCAAGCAGAUCUAUCGGCAAGACUUGUGUACUGCUGCUGCUCCGAAGAGCCAUGUGCACCAAGUGUAUGUAGCUAGGUGUGCCAAAUGGCGUAAUGCUAAUGAACUAAAUUUUUAUGUGUGCCAGGUUGUGACCUGACUCAUAGUGUGUACCUGCACCUGGAAGGCCCAGAGCUUAUUUAACUAGUGACUUAGCCUAGAUGUGUGGAUUUAUUUAAACUAAUGACCAUUGCUAAGAUAGCAAUGUGUGAUAGACCAAAUUUGGCUAAGGCUUAACUUGCUUAAGAUGCACUUCUAUGAGUCAUGGCCAAAGCAGACAUUACCGUGCAAGCUGAUAGAAGAAAAGCCCCUGCAACCACCUAAGCAUUUUUGGAGAAAAACACUCACUGUACUCGGCAGUGAAACUGGCUUAUCUGUAAAACUGAGCUAUUUAAAUGUUAGACAAAAAGAGAGACACAAGUUGAUUGGCUUCCUGAUUACAUGUCAAAGGACCAAUCAGCAUACUCCAUGCGAGCUGAUUGGCUUAACAUGUCACAAGUCAAGUCAUUUUUAUUUGCAUAGUACUUUUCACAACACACAUCGUUUCAAAGCAGCUUUACAGGAAAUCAAGCAUUUAAAAAACAAAACAAAAAAAUAAAAAAUGAAACUGUAAUAUCUAUAAAGUCUUAGGAUGAUCAUUGUGUAGUUUGAUUAAAUAUGAUUGUAAAUUGUGUAUAAAAAUUAAAUAAUUAAAUAAUAAUUGUAUUUAGAACCCCUGUGAGCAAGCUAAGGCGACUGUGGCAAGGAACACAAAACUCCAUAAGAUGUUGGUUAAUGGAGAUAAAUAACCUUGGGAGAAACCAGGCUCACUGUGGGGGCCAGUUCCCCUCUGGCUAAACAACAUGAAUAUAAUGGCAAUAUUAGUUAUUUGUGUGCAGUGCAAGUCAUGGUUUAAAAUUUGUAAAUGAAGCGUUAAAGUCCAGUGUUUAAAUAAAAAAAGAUUUUUUAUGAACUUAAAGAUUAAUGACUAAUGUCUUUGAAGUUCAUCCUGGAUUAACUGCAGAAGUUCACAUAGAUGCAUUGUCCUUUGUUAGUUGGCUGAUGAAGGCUUUUGUUGGCAAUUAAAUGAUAGUCUGAGUAUUCCAUUUCAAGAGUGAAGUCCAUCAAUAGACAAAGGUGAUGCAGGCAGAGAUCAAUGAGGUGCAUCACAGUUCAACUGGCAGGUCAUUUCGGUGAGGUUCGGUGGGGUUCAUCCUAAAUCCAAGGUCCAGACAGUGGCAUAUGAAGUAUCCGAUGUCUUACAGUUGGAGUUGGCAUCGGUUCAUCCUCUGAAGUCAAAAGACUGAAGUGAUGUCUGGCUAGCACUGGCUGUAGUUUGUUGUCAUCACUCAGUGGCACGUAGCAGCUGGAUCUGGCCAGCUCUGGUAACCUCGGGAUAUGAAUCCAGAGAAACAAAUAGAAUAAUAUUAGUGCAGAUGCCAUUCAAUUUUAUGCAGAGUUUUAGAUCAUGAUAGAUGUUUCUGGUUCCAGCAGACUUAACUAAAGCAGUCUAACUGUGAGUUGAUGGAUAAUUAUGUGUAUGCCUGUCUAAAUAGAUGAGUCUUUAGUCUAGACUUAAACUGAGUGAGUGUGUCUGCAUCCUGAACAGUGUUAGGGAGACUAUUCCAUAGUUUAGGAGCCAAAUAUGAAAAGGAUUUACCUCUUUUUUUGUGGAUUUAUAUAUUAUUGGAAUUAUUAACAUGCCAGAAUUUUGUGAUCAUAAUGAACGUGAUGGAAUAUAGCAUGUCAGAAGGUCACUUAAAUUCUAUGGAGCUAGACCACUCAAAGACAACAGAGAUUUUUUUAUUUAUAUAUGACGGUGUCACUUUAAGCAUUAAUCUUCGACCCUUCAGAUGAGGCUCAUGUUUAUAACAAUAACCUGGGGGAGUAGAUUCAUUUAAACUAAUAUAUUCAUCCGGUUUAAGCCAGGUUUCAGUCAAACAGAGUGCAUCCAAACUAUGAUCUGUAAUAAUUUCAUUUACAAUUAGUGCUUUGGUAGAAAGAGAUCUAAUGUUUAGUAGCCCUAACUUUAUAUGAUAUUUACCUUCAAUUUGAUUUUUUUUUUGAAUGUUUUUUUUUUUUUUUUGAUUUUCUUUUUCAAGUUUGACCUUAAUCACAUUUUUUCUAAAUUAUUUAGUGAGGAGUUUGUGUUUGCUAGUUCGGGGAACAGUCACCAGUCUCUAUUUGAUAUCUAGGUGUUAAAGUUACAAAAUACCUAGGUUCUCUAUGUGUUGUUGUUUAUGUGACCUGUGUGACGUCUCAAGGCAGCAAGCAGCCGUUCAGAUUAACCAGUUUGUCUGCUUCCUGACCUGGGCCCCAGUUAGUCAAAUACUGUCACUAUUAAGACUACGAGCCAAAUUACUAGAGAGGAGAGCGGCACCUUCCCUGGAAGGAUGGAGUCCGUCUCUCUUUAGCAGGUCAAGUCUAACACAAAAACUCUUCCAAUUGUCUAUAAAUCCUAUGCUAUUCUCCGGACACCACUCAGACAUCCAGCCAUUCAGUGACACUAAUCUACUAUAAACCUCGUCACCAUGACGAGCAGGGAGGGGGCCAGAGCAUAUUACAGUGUCGUUUUGGCAAGUUCACACACCUCUUUAACAUUAUCUUUAGUGAUCUCCGACUGGCAAAGCCAGACAUCAUUAGUGCCGACAUGAAUAACAAUUUUAGAAAAUCUACAUUUAGCAUUAGCCAGCACUUGUAAAUUUGAUUUGAUGUCAGACACCCGAGCCCCCGAAAUGCAUUUAACAAUAGUGGCUGGAGUCUCUAUUUCCACGUUCCUUACAACAGAAUCACCAAAUAUUAAGGCUCUUUCAACAUCUUUCAGGCUCUUUCUCAGUGGAAAUAACAUGAGCGGAUGCCAUGACUUACUGCAAUUGUUUGUUGUUGUUGUUAUGGUUGUCCUUGAGUGGCGAGGGUUUGAGAUCGAGGUGGUUCGAUGUGGUUCCUAAUCAGCAGAUGUUUUAGAUUGAUGCAAUAAUCCUUGUAAAACACAGUGGAGAAAACGAAUGCAAUCGAGACACGAGAUGUAGACAAGCAGAAAAAAAACAAAAAAAAAACUGAGAGAAACGGGUGGGGCAUGGUAAAAUACACGCAGUUGAAACAGUAGAAAAGUGGAAAAACCCGAAGCACGUGGUAAAAUGGCAAAGGAUAAAACGAUGAACGUGAAUAAGCAAGAAUAAGCAAUGCUAAGCACGCUAGCAAGCUACAAACACAGACUCGUGCAGCAUGCCAGCAGCAACCGGAACAGGAAGUCAGCAAGUUUCACAGUGGUCAGUCAGUUGGCAUCAUACUGAUGCUUACAUGCAAGCGAGCCAUCUGGCUAACAGAUAACAAACUCAAAGAACCUAUCAGCUUGCGCCACAUAAUAGUUACAUGGCUGAACUGCAGUCAUUUAGAAACCGACAGUGUCAUAAAAAGCAAAUGGGACACGAAAAAUGCAAUUACUGGAGCAACCACGUCAUUUUGUGGUACUUCUAGGACACUUUUGGCUCAGGUGUCAACUUGCAUGGCUCUGCAGGACUCAUGCCCCGGCCCUUUCCAUCACAAAUGCAACGCUCUCUCAGUUCAGCUACUGCCUAAUUUAAUUUAGCUCGAACUAGCCUGUAAAUGUAUUUAAAAGUUCUGUAAGCGAUUUUAGCUGUUCUACUUCCAUGAGACUGAGCCAUUGGAUUAGCCACGCCCCCUCUUUCCAAAAUACCGCACUCCAAAGAUACUCCAAAUGAGUUUGAUUGAGACAGAAUUCAUGCAGAAAUGGUUGUUAAAAACAACAACAGCAAAAAAGCGCCCUCAACUGACAACUGUUAUGAACAACAUGGCUUAAAAAUAGCAGUAAGUCUCAAUAAUUCGCUGCAACUACAACACUAUGAGAACGUGCAAAAUUAUUGACAGGUUGAAAGCAUCAUACAUUUUUGUUUGCUGUUUACAGAGUCUAGAGCUGUCACAGAGACUGGUGUGAUAUCUUACAACACUUAUUUCAAUAAUAUAUCUCAGGGAGUAGGAACAUUUUUGCAUAACUUUCCAUGAACAAAAUCACUUACAGCACCUUUAAUUAUGUAAUGCAAACGUUACAGUGUAUCGCCUUACAAGUCAUGCGCUAUAAUAAAAGUGUUUUGAUGUCAGAUAGCAUUGUGUGAGGAACAGGGUGAAAGUGUUUAUGAACUGAUUCAUUGAAAAAAAGUCAUUGUUGUAGCACUUCUUGUGUUCAUUUCAGCAGAAUACUGCUGUGAUAUGUACAACAAGUCACGUAAAAAUCAUUUUACGAAAAAAUUAGGUUUGGUACAGUGAUUCUAUGAAACCAGGUUGCAAGUUCCUGAACACCAAAUAGUUCAUUGACGUGUAAAUAUGGGUGGCCAUAUGUUUUCAGGCUUUCUGAAGUUAGGAAAAAGAUUUUCAGAACAAGCCGUUUGUGCAGCUUAGUUUCAGUAAAUGCUCCAUUUGGAGUUUCCAUUUUUUUAGUCCAUUUUCAUAGAACAUCAAACUUUUUUUUUUAAAAAGACCAAGGAAAAUUUGAUUUCUCAUGACAAAACCCCUAUAAAGAUCUUAAAAGUGCAGAAAAGGUGAUUGUGCAGAUCAAACUGUGCCUGUGGACUGAAUCUUGUGAUGAACGUGAUGCCAUGCGAGGAGCGGACAUGUGAACGGCGAGCUCUGCGCACUUUGCUAGUUUUAAUACUAUUUAUGUCAUAAACCGGUGAGAUUCGAUACACCCUGAUUCUUAACUGUUCUAGGAAGAUGAUAUGUCAAAAAAUUCUAAAUCCUUGGGCUCUGGAGACAUUAAAAGACACUUGCGUGCUCAAGCUGAUUCCCCGCAGCGGCAGGCCGAAAGUCCCGGACUCAAUUCGGACGGUGAACUGAAAGAAAUCCGGCGUGAAAUGAUGAAUGUGUCAGUAAUGGUGACGAAGGUCGUUGCAGACUUGGAGGCUCUUGCUCCAUGGAGACAAAAUUCUCUGAGUUGGUUACAAGAUUGUCGGACAUCGAGAAACGGAUCGAUUAUCUGGAGUCAUCGGAGAGGAAGAAUUAGCUGCUAACCCGCUAGAGACCAAGGGAGAUUUGGAACGCUGUGACGAGGAGGAGGGUGGACUACGCACACCCGGCCACCAAUCAGGCUAAUCAGCCAAGGAGCGGGAUAAGUUCAGGAGAGAGAGAGCCAUACGCAGCUGCCGUGUGUGUGUUUGUGUGUUUAUGUUUGUGUCUUUUUGUUAAACAUUAUUUACAUCCGGUUCCCGCCCCCUACUUUCCACUGAACCUACAUUGGUGCCGAAGCCCGGGAAGGAGGAGGGAUGCACUGUCGUGGAGUCCUCACCACUGCCAUCCACCCAAAGGAGUAGCCACGGCCAUCCGCCGGGGGACGGAGGAGUUGCUGCCUACCGCCUGGAUGCGGAGGAACGGCCGGCGUCUACGAGGGGAGGAGGGGCUCGCUGCUGGCCGCUAGCGGCUGGAGCUUGUUUUGUGGAGGCACACACCUUCGAGACAGUUAAGUGGAUGAAUCUACAUGUUUUUUGUGUAUGUUUAUUCCGCCUAUUGGCUGGAGUUUGUUUUAUAUAUCAUCUUCUGUUGUGUAAUUCUGUUUUACAAAUUUUUGUAUAGAAACACCAGACUUGAGCAAUUUAACGGCAAAGUUGUCACGGGGGCUCUUGUAGGCAUACAUGGACUGUUUGAGUUAUGAGGGACAGAUGCCGGUUGGUGCUGUCGUGCGUGGGGUUAAUGCGCACGUUUUUCUUUUUUCUGUUUGUUUUGUUCUGGGGAAAGUUCGGGGGUUGAUUGUUGCACCAAUGUGGAAUGUGGUCUUUAUAAUUUUAUUUUUGACACACAAUCUAUUUUUACUCAUAUGUCAAAAUGCCAAAUGUUAAUAUGAGUGGAUUGUCUCUCUCCACGUGGAAUGUGAAUGGGUUGGGGCACCCCAUAAAAAGAAGGAAGGUUAUUUCUUUUCUUAAACUAAGGAAAUAUGACAUAGUGUUUCUUCAAGAAACGCAUCUUUCCCCGCAGGAAGCUGAAAAAUUUGGGAAGAUAUGGGGUGGACAUGUUUUCUUUAGUGCUGGCUCAAGUAAGAGCAGGGGAGUUGUUACAUUGAUAAGUAAACAUCUACAUUUCAAACGUCUUAAACAGAUUAAAGAUAAAUUAGGAAGAGUCAUAAUUGUUUUAGCAGAAAUUCAGGGGCAAAGGUUGAUUUUGGCUAAUAUUUACGCACCUAACGCUGAUGAUCAGGGCUUUUAUAUAGAUCUUGAAGGGAUGUUGCAAGCCACUGGCACCCCUCAUGAUAUAAUAUUGGGAGGAGUCUUUAAUCUAUUGAUGGAUUCAGUCCUUGAUCAUAGUGAAGCAAAAGAGUGUAAGCCGCCAAGAACAGGAUAAUCUAUACAUUGUAAUAAGGCCAGAAUUAUAUUUGAUCAUGGCAGAGGUUAAAUGCAGGCAGGCAGAAAGGUAAAGGAGACAAUUUGAAUCAGCUGGAGGAUUGAUUCACACGGUUCAUGCCAGCACAUCAUGGCUUGAGAUGAAAACUCUAAACCCAAGAGAGAGGAUAAUCUGAGGUGUGAUUAGGGAGAAACAGUCCUAGUCUGUUUCACAAGAGUCUUUCAAGUAUAAAAAAAAAAUAAAAAAUUUUUAUGGCCUAUAAACUUCUAAGAAGUAUCUCCAUGAUGCGAGUCAAUGUAUGAAUCAUAAAAACACAAAGCAAAAAAGAGCACAACCAUUUGUAUAGCAUAUUUCUGAGAAAGAAGCUUCAAAGUCCACAUUUGCACAGACAUGUACAAGUACAAAUUUUAAACAAAAAGGCUACUCAGAUAAAGACCCCUUUCUAAUCUUCAUUAUGACCUGUACAGGCAACAAGCAUUUGCCUUUUCAAGGGGAUGAAUCCUUAUCCUAGAUAUGUGGGACACAGGCUGAUGGUGACUGUCAGUAUCCCUGUUAAGCAGUUACCUUAAACUGGCACAGUUUUAUCAGCAGGCAAGUGUAAAGCUGCCUUUGCCCUGUAAUAAAACUUCGACAUAGGGGAGUCAAGAAUAAAUCAUAAAAACAGAGUAAAAUCUUCUGUGACUAGCUGGUACUGGACAGAAAGUAUCAGUGAAAAGGACUGCACUUAACACUGAGACUGAUACGUGUUAACCUGUGUGCAACUGUGAAUGAAGGAAAAUAAGUGGGGAUGCUUGUCUCCUUUAAUCUCCCUCCAAAACGGCAAUGGCCCUGUGACAGAAUAAAAGGAUUAAAAUAGUAGUCAUGUAACCUCAUGCCAUCUCUGACCACCAGUGGACCAUCUGUUGUUCAAUCCACAGGCCUCUGGGCCUGGACUUACAUAGAGAACUUGUAACUUGGCCUGGGAAAAUAAAUGAAGAUCUAAUGCCACUACUCCUUUGCAAUAGAAUAUAUAUAUAUAUAUAUAUAUAUAUAUAUAUAUAUAUAUAUAUAUAUA